AUUUGUCAGCCGUCAUCACGUAAAAACGAUGAAUCAAAGAAUUCAACUUUAUAUAUAACUAAUAUAGUACAAUGCUGAUGAUUAAAAAUUGCACCACUCCAGACCCUUUUGUUUUCCACAUAAUUAAUAUUGGCAAUAAUUAUAAGUUCCGGGUCGAAUCCGAUACCGAUACCAAUAGUAUAUUCAUCUGUUACCUAUUACCUUAUCUGUACGUUCCGCAUCUGACAGGCGCACCACCAA
rnacentral:lncRNA from 1 species